AUUCUGCAUUUCAUUCCGGCCUGAGAAACCGGCUGGACGUGAAAAAUGCUCGUGAAUUCUUAUUAGAGAUGGUGACUGUGCCUCGGAGCAGGACAUUGCAUAUUCAUCAGUGUGACGGACCUCAGCUCCCCACCUCAGCAGGGUGAACCUUGCGCUCGCCGGGAUGCACGAAUGGUCAGCCCUGGCCUGACGUGGGCUCUGUGGGUGGUUGGAGCCCUGGACCUUGCAGAAAACAUGAAAAGACUUCUCGUCCCUCCUUCCGGCACUUUCUCAAGUGCUGUCAAGUGCUUUAUUUUAAUGUUCACUGUAGUUUUCAGGUUACCAUCCUAAUAUAGGCUCAUUGUAGAAAAUUUGAAACUAUGUAGAAAUAUAAAGUUGAAAAUAAGUAUUUCCUCAAAUUCCACCACCCAGGGCUAAACAUCGUUGUAUUUCUUCCAGUCUUUUUUUCUCUGUGUGUAUAUAUUUAAAAACUAUGAAUCAAUAUAUACAUAUGGAAUUGGGAUCAUAUCGUCCCUAUGGUUCUGUAUAUUUUUUCUCCCUUUUAAUGGUAUAUACAAAGCAUCUCUUGUGUCUUUAAGCCCCGUUUGUCAGCAUCAGUCUAGCGGCUGCACACACAGCCAUCGCAUGGCUGUAGUUCAAUGAAUUUAAUUACCCUCAUUGAUGGACGGUGAGGUGGGGAGUUUUCUAUUUUGACCGUGUACAACGAAAAUGUCCCUGGCUUUUUUAAGGGUAGCUUUUUUUUUUUUUUAACGUUUUAUUUUAUAUUGGAGCCUAGUUGAUUUACAAUGUUGUGUUAGUUUCAGGUGUACAGCAAAGUGAUUCAGUUAUACAUAUACAUGUAUCUAUUGUUUUUCGAAUUCUCUUUCCAUUUAGGUUUUUACAGAAUACUGAGCAGAGUUCCCUGUGCUAUGCGGUAGGUCCUUGUUGGUUGUCUAUUUUAAAUACAGUAGUGUGUAUCUGUUAAUCCCAAACCCCCAAUUUAUCCCUUCCCCCCAACCUUUCCCCUUUGGUAACCGUAAGUUUGUUUUCGAAGACUGUGAGUCUGUUUCUGUUUUGUAAAUAAGUUCAUUUGUAUCAUUUUUUUUAAGAUUCCACAGAUAAGUGAUAUCGUGUGGUAUUUGUCUUUCUCUGUCUGACUUACUUCACUUACUAUGAUAAUCUCCAGGUCCAUCCAUGUUGCUGCAAAUGGCAUGAUUUCAUUCUUUUUAAUGACUGAGUGAUAGUCCAUUGUAUACAUGUACCACAUCUUCUUUAUCCAUUCUUCUGUCGAUGGGCAUUUAGGUUGCUUCCUAAAUGCCCAUCGACAGAUAGCUUCUUGGCUAUUGUAAAUAGUGCUGCAGUGAACAUUGGGGUGCAUGCAUCCUUUUGAACCAUGUUUUUCUCCAGGUAUAUACCCAGGAGUGGGAUCGCUGGAUCAGAUGGUAACCCUAUUUUUAGAUUUUUAAGGAACCUCCGUACUGUUCUCCAUAGUAGCCGCACCGGGCUUCCCUGGUGGCGCAGUGGUUGAGAGUCCGCCUGCCGAUGCAGGGGACACGGCUUCGUGCCCCGGUCCGGGAGGAUCCCACAGGCCGCGGAGCGGCUGGGCCCGUGAGCCGUGGCCGCUGGGCCUGCGCGUCCGGAGCCUGUGCUCCGCGACGGGAGAGGCCACAACAGAGGGAGGCCCUCAUACCACAUAGUAGCCGCACCAAUUUGCAUUUCCAGCAACAGUGUAGAAGGGUUCCCUUUUCGAGGGAGGCUUAUUUAAACCAGAGGAAGAACGUUACUUAGGAAAAAAAUUUUCCCUUUGGGGCCUAGAAGUGAUGGAAAAAGUAGUUUGUUGCAGCUGAAGCUGAGGGGUGCAAGGCGAGGCCUGGGCCCCCAACUACUGCCAGGCCCCGGCGCUCAAGCGUGCUGCAUCCCUUCCUGCUCUGAGUGGAGCUGCCGUCCCUUAGUCCUUGUCUAGGUGGGCUGCUUUCAGCUGCAGGUAUCAGAAAGCCCAGCUCGGCGAGUUUCAAAAGCGAGGGCGCCGUCUGUGUCGCGUGCCAGGACUUCCGGAGGCGGCAGCUCCAGGUUUGCCAGUUCACCGCCUUCUCUCCCCGGGCACCCUCAGCACCACAGCCCAACCUCAGGCUGCCUCCCCUCCUGGGGCACGUCGGCUGCCCAGGUCCAGCCAUGCCACCCAGACGUGAUGAAGAGUGAUGAAGUACAAAGGUGGAAAAGGGACCAUUGUAUCAAAUCCUUUUUUCCCUCUCUUUUUUUAAAUCAGUAAGGACAACCUUGUCCAGAAGCCCGGGCCGGUUUCCCCAUCCAGCUGCCCUCACCUUACUGGCUAGACCCACAUGCCAGUGCCCAAGCCAGGCCUUGGGCGGGAGAAGGGGGCUCAUCCUUUCUGAGGCGGAGACUGAGAGCUCUCUGGGGUGGGGCAGGGGGCACUGUAGGUGCCUGGAUGUGCCCUCUCGCCCUUCUGGACGUAGAUCCCCUGGGGCCCUUGCACCCCACCUCCUCCAGACCACUGUAGGCUGUGGGCACUGAGUUUUUCGAGCUGCAGCUUCACCCAGACCCCAAGGCAGCCCUUACCAAGGGACCAGAAUGUUGACCGUCCCAGCCUCAUCGGCUGGCGGGGCGCGCGGGGUCCACUGUGAGGCCUGGGCCAGACUCAGUGCUGGUCUCUCCGGAUCCCGGAGUGUCAACCCCACUCCAACCCCAGUGCCAUGGGUGGGCCCAGAGUGCUGGAUGGCCGAUCACUGCCUCACACCCCCAGAUCAAUCUGGUGGGUUACAAUGCGGAUGGGCACGUGAUCCAAAAUCGGUUCCAUAAGAGUUGAUCUGGGGGGUGUCUGCUGGAAUUCAUGGGAAAGAGGUGUGCUUUCUUUUCCCUGAGGUCUCCAGGAUGUGAGCCGGGAGCUGGUGGGCCCCAACUCACCGCCACGGGGGAGAAUCCGCCUGAGAGUGAAGCCAACGUAGAAGAAAGCGGAGUUAGAAGAUGGAGAGAGACCAGGUCCUGAUGAUAUCAGUUGAAGCCCUGGAUUCAGCCAUUCCUGAAGCAGUGCUACCUCUGAAAUCAUCAUUUACGGAAGGCGACAAUUUUCCUUUUCACAUAAACCAGUUUGAACUGGGUUUUUGUUGCACCUGAAGAGUCUUGACUAAAGCUCCUGCAGACUAGUCUUCCAAAACCAGGAUCCCGGGGCCAGACUUUGAUAACGAUCCCUGCCGCUGAGGCGGGCCAGGCCCCAGUGCCACUUUCUUUGGGUGUGGAAGACUGAAGGCUCAUCACCCUUCCUGCGGCCACUUCCUCCAGUCCACAGAGCGUCUCUGCAGGAGAGCUGCUUCCUCUGUGUCCGUUGAAUUAUCUGGUGUCUUCCUUUGAAGCCAGAAACAGGACAGGCGUUUCCCUUCCCUCUCCACAUCGACUUCUCCCUCUGUCCAGGCUUUCACGAUUCUAGGGGUAGUUUCCUGAUAAUUCAACUGAAAAUUUCCAUGGCUCAGUUUCUGCUUCCCUGAGUUGCCCCCUCAGUCUCCGCUAACGACUCAGCUCCUUCCCGAGGCCCGUGAUCGGAGCGUCUCUGCCCACGUCACUGUUUAGCCAAGCUCGGCACCUUUCCUGUGCUCAUCCUUCUUCAUAAGCCAUGUCUCCAGCCUGCUAAUCACUGCGGACGUGUUUUAAGGGAUGCUUUUCAAUUUUCAUUGGCUGUGCUGUUGCGAGGUCUUCCUCUAGGCAGCAAGGGGCUUUCCCUCCAAAAGGCUACAUGUUCCUGUGCCCCGAUGCUCAAGGGACCAGAAGGGAAAGGAAAUGGAAGAAGCAGUCUGCUAUUUGUUUGGGGGGUGGGGCGUGGCAAAACAGGGCCCAUAACCUGCCCUGGGGGGACAGCUACCUCUCAGGGCUGGUCCAUUGUCACCGUGCAGGAACCAGGCCCAGCAUUUGUACAGCUAAUGAUUUCUCAAGGGAAGGUGGAAAUCCAUGUUUUUAUGUGAAAUUUCCUAUCUUUAAAAAAACGGGGAACUUCCCUGGCGGUGCAGGGGUCAAGAUUCCGCGCUUCCACUGCAGGGGACGUGGGUUCGAUCCCUGGUCGGGGAACUAAUAUGCCACAUGCCGUGCGGUACGGCCAAAAAUUUAAAUUAAUAAAAAUAAAUCUUAAAAAAAAGCCAGCAACAGAAUAAAAAGAAUUUAACUGCUAUAAAGACGAACCGUCUCUCGGACCACCAGUCUGUGACUUCUGCCCUAGUGGAUUAAAGAAGUGACAGGGUGUCAGACCACAAAGAGCAGCGUGGCCUAGUGGGCAGACACGGGGCUGGGAACGGGGAAGCCGGGGUUUUGGUCCUACCCCAGGUUACACCGUGUAACCUGGGGCACAUAUUUGGUUUCUGAAAAUUCCUAGCAGUUCAUGUACAUUUCCUUAACCUUUCCAACAGUUCUAGAAGAUGGGCUGCAUUAAUCCCAUUCUGAAUAAUGAAGAGAAUUUUUUUUAAAAUUUUUGGCCGUACCCCGCGGCAUGUGAGACCUUAGCUCCCUGACCAGGGAUCGAACCCGUGGCCCCUGCAUUGGCAAGUGGAGUGUUAUAACCACUGGACCGCUGGGGAAGCCCCUUUGUUGAGGCAUAUUAACUAAUUUGGAUCAGAAGCAGAACUCACAUGUUCCUAGAAAAUGUUACUUGGCACUUGCUCUUCUGUCUCUCCAUUAGCUCUUCUUCAGGAGUGGUUCUUUGACCACUGGAAUGUAAAAAUCAGGCAUGGACUUGGAAGACGUGUGUCUUCGUUACUGUGAGCUGCUAUAACAAAGUGCCGCAGGCUGGGUGGCUUAAACAACAGUGCAUAAUAUGAAUGAAAUAUAAUAAAAAUAGCCUUUGGUAUGUGUCCAUAAUGCUACU